CGGGAAUGCCCAGGCAGCCGCUCUUAAUUUAUUAAGGGAGGAAAGUCCGGACACUCAAGGGCAAUGUGCCGUGUGAAAGCACGGGUGCUGCAGGGUAAACUUGCAGUAACGGAAAGUGCCGCAGAAAAUAAACUACCCCGGUUUACCGGGGAAAAGGUGAAAAGGCGGUGUAAGAGACCACCGUUGCAUCCGGUAACGGAUGUAUGCAUGGAAAACCCCGCAGGAGUGCAAAGCCGCGUAAAGUAUCAUUUUCGGGCUGCCCGUCUGAAUCUGCCGGAAACGGUUCGCCGUCAGGGCGGUGUGAUACAGGGUAGGCUGCAUUAGAUAAAUGGCUGCCGGGGUUCGCUUGUGAUCUAUUCACUUGUGAGCUUUGACAGAAUCCGGCUUACGGGCUUUCCGGUUAU
rnacentral:RNase_P_RNA from 1 species